GGAGAAAAAGGAAAAAAUAAAAUCUUUAAAAAAAAAAAAAGCCAAUUAUUACAGCAUGAACUUUUGGGAGAAGAAAUGUAGCUUAUUUUGUGAGAUCAAUCUGCAAGGAGAUGGGGGCAUAUGCUCUUAGAUCUGUCUCCCCAUCCAGGGCUUGGGGCACAACUUAUGAAGGGCAGGGUGGUCUGAAGUGUGGAGACAGAUGAUUGGAGGUUAGGAGAGGUGAGGUAGUUGAUGAUCCACACAAGCACAAGCCUAGUUAAGCUUCAUGGCUCUUCAGAGGACGCAACUUCACAAAAUGGCGGCAUUACCACGAUCUGCCUUGGAGAUGACUACUAGCUGUCUACGUCAGUUAGCGGUUGGACACCGGAGAAGUCAGAACUGAAGGAAUAAACUUGGUGCAACUGGCUUAUGCCUGCUAUUUAAAGUCACAGCACUGAAGAGAUCACGUAGAAGAGCGUUCACAGGAAAAAGGAGUUCAAGGGCCGCACGUGGAGGAGCACAGUACAUUUGCACGCCAAAUGGAGGAGGAGCCUGUUUAGGAGCAGCCAGGGAGGGAGGAGAAAAACCAGGACAUUUCUGUAGAAGAACCAAAGCUUUUCAAGAGAGCCUUCCAUGCAAGGGGAAGUAAUAAUACACAAAACUAAUACUAGUGGCUGCAGACAAAGGAGGCUUCUGGAUUCCUCCCAGGCGGCCCUCCCAGUUCACCCCGGAGGGAAACCGGCGGGGGCGGGGCUCGGGUUGCAGCUUGGCGGCUGGAGCCGCGCGCACCCCAGGGCUGCCCGCCGGCAGCUCCUCCCGAUUGCUUAUCAGCCCAGAGCUCCCCAACCGCGCGCGGAUCAAAUGCUGCUUUCAGAGCUCCAGGGAGCUGGGUGUGUCUUCCGUGCUUUGCAAAAUAGGAAGGAAAAAAACCGAGCGGGGCAAAUCCCCCGGCCCAGAAGUCAUUGCCAUCUGAUAUUCUGCACAUGCUGUGUCUCCCCCAGUGGAGUGGAAACACCUCAGCAGGAACCUUGUUUGCUUGUUCUCUCCUAAGUCCCCCGUAUGGAGCCCAUGGCCAACACCCAGUAGGUCCUCAACCAAUGUCUGAUGAGCUGGUGACUCCUUGUGCAUGGAUCUCUAUCCUCUCUGUGGAAGAUCAUGAACUUGCAACACAACCAUCCGACAGAUGUUGAGCCUGACCGCGUGCCUGGCCCUGUGCCAGCCAGCAGGGCAGCCACGGAGACAUGCCCGGUCCUGGACUGAGGAACUCCCUGACGCCCAGGGCAGAGACAUGUGCACACUAGGGCCAGACGAGGCAGGUGUGCCCGAGUUCUGCUGAAAGACAUCUGGGUUCAAUGGCAGCUGGAGACAACACCACAGGGCUCCUGCAUCUGAUAAGAAGUCCCCUCACUCUGUCUGUCCCUGAGCUGGCCUCUCACCAGGGACUCCUUCCUGGAAUACCCUCCUCCACUGCACUCUCAACCCUCCCUGGCUUUGAGUCACUCUUCAAACUCCUUUCCACAUCACCUCCUCCAGGAAGCCUUGCCUGAUCCCUCAUGUCCACCUUAGUGGUAAUCCCUUUAGUUGGUCCCAGUCCUGGCACUUAUCAGUUUGCAUUGUUGGCCUGUUUCUUUCUGUCCUUCUGCAUCCCCGUCCCCACUCCCCACCCAUAGGGCUGUUUCUUCCAGGGAAGCAGGGACCUCGACCAGCACCCAUUCCAGUGCUAGGCACAAUGUAGGAGCUCAAGCAGUAGUUGCUGCCUGAAUGAGCAAACAGAUGGAUGGUGGAUUUCCUGGGAGGCAGAGUUUCAUCUCUCAGAGGCCAGGACAAGAACCCUCAUAGCAUAGCCCAUUCUCUGUGUUUGCAGCUGGCCUGGCCCCCUCCCCAUCUGGGGGCUCUAGUACCAAGCCCCAAAGUGAUUCUUUCUCUCUGUUUUUAAAGAUUGGCACCUGAAGUAACAACUGUUGCCAAUCUUUUUUUUUUUCUGCUUUUUCUC